CUCCAGAUUUUCUCCUCUCUUUGUUUUUCCCUAAUUUCAACCCUUUUUUUUUUCUUUCCCUUUUCCUUCUUCAAUUCUUAUAUUCUUCUACUAUACUUACUCCAACUUAUUUUCUUACCAAAAAUAUACAUACAUACUAAUUGUUUUCACUGUUAGCUUCUUUAGUUCUAGAUUAUUUCGAGAAAGAUAUUUUUGCAAUAGCGUUAAAAUCUUUGACUAUUUUAAUUACGAUCUCGAGACUCUUGUUAUUAUCAUUAUUCAUUACUUUGAUUUUUUCCACGUUGUACAAACAUAUACAAAUUCUUGUUAUCUUAUAAAACAACAAAAAUGCAAGUUUAUUAAAAUACACUCAGUUUUUUGUUGCUGUUGUUGUGGUUGAUUCUGUUCUACUUUUAAAUAAGAGAAAUUAUUUGGAUGUAAAUAUUUUUUUUUGCAUAAUCAAUUUUUGAUUUUGGUUAAAUUUUGAUUUUCUGUUUUAAGUUUGAGUUUGAGGGGAUUCAGAUUUGUGAUUUAGAUGAGGUUGUUGUUGUUCUGUUUUGCUUCAGAUUUGAGGAAAAAUAGGAGUUGAUUAAAAAAAGCAUGAAUUUCAAGGGAUUUGGAAAUGAUCCUGGAGCCUCUGCCGGCGGCGGAGGGAGGACGACGACGGGGAAUUUUUCCCUGGCGCGUCAAACGUCGGUAUAUUCUCUGACGGUUGACGAAUUCAUGAACAGUAUGGGAGGUUCUGGGAAGGAUUUUGGGUCAAUGAACAUGGAUGAAUUGUUGAAGAAUAUUUGGAGUGCUGAAGAGGUUCAAACAAUGGGUGGUGAAGAAGGUAUUAGUCAUUUACAAAGACAAGGUUCUUUAACACUACCUCGUACACUUAGUCAGAAAACAGUUGAUGAGGUUUGGAAGGAUAUUUCAAAGGAUUAUGGUCCUAGUUUAGCUGCUCCACAAGCUCAGAGACAACCAACUUUGGGAGAGAUGACUUUGGAAGAGUUUUUGGUUAGAGCUGGUGUUGUUAGAGAAGAUGCAAAACCAAAUGAUGGUGUUUUUCUUGAUAUGGCUCGUCUUGGGAAUAAUAAUAGUAACUUGGGUUUGGCUUUUCAGGCUCAACAGUUGAAUAAGGUUUCUGAUUUUAUGGGUAAUAAUAGGAUUUCUGUUAAUGAUAAUCAUUCACUUGUGGGUCUUCAAUCUCCUACUACUAAUUUGCCCUUGAAUGUUAAUGGGAUUAGAACAUCAAAUCAGCAACAGAUGCAGAAUUCACAGACUCAGCAACAGCACCAGAAUCAACAACUUCAGCAACAUCAACAUCAAAAUCAGCAUCAGCAGAUAUUUCCGAAGCAGCCGGGUUUGAACUAUGCAACUCAGAUGCCUUUGUCUAGCAAUCAAGGGAUGAGAGGUGGAAUUGUGGGGCUUUCUCCUGAUCAAGGAAUGAAUGGUAAUCUUGUGCAAAGUGGAGGGAUCGGCAUGGUUGGUUUGGCGCCCGGGGCUGUUCAGAUUGGUACUGGAUCGCCGGCGAACCAGAUAUCUGGUGAUAAAAUUGGAAAGACUAAUGGUGGUGAUACUUCUUCUGUGUCACCGGUUCCUUAUGUCUUUAAUGGAGGUAUGCGAGGUAGGAAGACUAAUGGAGCUGUUGAGAAGGUAAUUGAGAGGAGGCAGAGAAGAAUGAUAAAGAAUAGGGAGUCAGCUGCUAGAUCCCGCGCUCGCAAGCAGCAGAAUGGUAAUAUGAUAGCGAUCUGACCUGAUGAAAGGUGAAAGAAUUUUGAGAAGUAACUGUCAUGAUUUUAGCAAGGCUUAUACCAUGGAAUUGGAAGCAGAAGUUGCAAAGUUAAAAGAAGAGAAUGAAGAACUUCAGAAAAAGCAGGCAGAAAUCAUGGAAAUUCAGAAAAAUCAAGUUAAGGAAAUGAUGAAUCUGCAGCGAGAAGUCAAGAGAAAAUGCUUAAGACGAACACAAACUGGUCCGUGGUAGAUUGAAGAUUGGAUUAUGAUUUCUCAGUUGAAAACAUAUGUAUAUACACAUAAAAUACAUGUUUUUCUGCAGAUUGAGGCUUUUGUAGUUUAGAUUAGCACUUGAAAACUUUAAUAUCUUGCUAACAGUUUGCAUAGUUAGGGAGGAUAUAUUCAUAGUACCGUGAGAAUAUGUUUCAGCACGCGUCCAACUUCAUGCCACCAUUGGUUAGACAAUCUUUGUGCACAACACUUUCACUGAAUUUGAUUUGGUGCGAGGCUGAAGUACUUAUUUAUCAUGUAUGUACUUUUAAUGCACUUUUCAUGAGUUUGGACUAGUGGCUUCAGUUAUUUAUGAGACGUCUAUUUUGCUAUC